AACGAACGCUGGCGGCAGGCCUAACACAUGCAAGUCGAACGCUCGUAGCAAUACGGGAGUGGCAGACGGGUGAGUAACACGUGGGAACCUACCCUUUGGUUCGGAAUAGCCCAGGGAAACUUGGGGUAAUACCGGAUAAGCCCUUCGGGGAAGGAUUUAUCGCCGAAGGAUGGGCCCGCGUCGGAUUAGCUAGUUGGUGGGGUAACGGCCUACCAAGGCGACGAUCCGUAGCUGGUCUGAGAGGAUGAUCAGCCACACUGGGACUGAGACACGGCCCAGACUCCUACGGGAGGCAGCAGUGGGGAAUAUUGGACAAUGGGCGCAAGCCUGAUCCAGCCAUGCCGCGUGAGUGACGAAGGUCUUCGGAUUGUAAAGCUCUUUUGGUCGGGGACGAUAAUGACGGUA
rnacentral:rRNA from 1 species